UAGCAAAGACAACGACGUAAUGAGACGGAAGUGAAGACAUUUUUUUUUUUUUUUUAUCUCGACACCGGCAAGAUGGCUGCGGACACGCAGGUUUCUGACACACUGAAGAAGUUUGCAGUGAAAGUGACUACAUCGAGUGUUAAAGAGCGCAAAGAAAUUUUAGAAGAACUGAAAGAAUGCAUAAAUGGCAAGAAUCUGCCUGAACCAGCUAUCAAAGGCCUAUGCAAGCUCUUUUGUCUUACCCUUCAUCGAUACAGGGAUGCAGCUUCUCGCCGUGCUGUCAUUUCUGUUAUUGACCUACUGGCCAAAGCACAGCCUGAUGCCAUUGCUUCUCACCUACCAUCUGGCCUGCUCACCUGUGGAGUUGUCAGUAAGGGCAUAAUGCCAGGGAGGAGCACAGCAUCGGCUUCUUGUUGUGCCCUUCCCUGGAUUUACCUAAUAGUUCGUGUAGUCUUCCCCAUGUUAGAGAACAGAGGGGCACCCCACUGGAAAAAAAUGGUGGAGGUGCAGAGUCUGCUCCUUGCUGAGGCCAUGGGUGGAGCCCCCAAAAAUGCUAUCAAGUCUGUCACCAAGCAGCUUAACAAGUUGUGGAAAGAUAUUCCAGGGUUGGUUGAUCAGUACAUGAGCACCCUUUUGAGCUUAGACCAGAGUCCUUCCUCUCUGCCUAUGUUGGCUGCAUGUGUGGACUUCUGCACUUCUCAGAAAGACAUGGCCACCAUCAACAAGCACAAGGCAGCUAUCUUAGAUCUCUACUUGAAGACUGUGCUGAUGAGCAAAACCAGACCAUUCCAGCACAUUAUGGCUAAAAGUGGUUCUUUGCUUCACCAUGUUUCUCACGCUGAGUUCAAGGAACAACUCUUGCCCGCUCUACAGAAAGCCCUGCUGCGUAGCCCUGAGAACUCCAUGCAGACCAUCUCCUCCAUGCUGGCUUCACUUACUCUUGAUCUCAGCCAGUAUGCUUUGGACAUUGGGAAAGGCCUUGCCAGCCAGCUAAAGGCAAGUAAUGUGGAAUUAAUGGAGCAUGCAGUUCAGGCUAUGCAAAAUUUAGCCCAGCAGUGUAGUGACCCAGCUGCCAUCCAGGAUCUUGUAACACACCUCUUUAGGAUUCUUGGAGGUUCAGAGGGGAAACUCACUGUAGUGGCCCAAAAAAUGAAUGUGCUUUCAGGGAUUAAAAGCUGUAGCUGUCAUGCAGUCUCUGGCUCUUCCAACCAGUCACUCAGCUCCAGUGUGGUUUUGCAGUUUAUCCCAUUUCUGCAGCAGGAAGUACAUGAGGGAACACUGGUGCAUGCUGUGUCUGUGAUGUCUCAAUGGAUGGCACGUCUGAAUGUGGAGGUUCCAGCUGCUUUGAGAGACUGGCUUAAGAAAGCCUUCACACUGAAGUCCUCCACCUCUGCUGUGCGCCACGCCUAUCUGCAGGCCAUGCUCAGGGCCUUCAAAGGGGACACAUUGAGCCAGGCUGUGGAUUUUGUUCCUUUCCUCAUUCAGACUGUAGAGAAAGCAGCUUCUCAGAACUCCCAGCAGGCCCUCUCUGAGGCCGUGGCAGCUUCACUGCUUCUAUGUCAUCUGUCCAUGCUGGACUCAGUUCCUGAAUCUAAACUGACCUCUCUUUGGAACCUGAUUUUGGAUGAGAAAAAACCUCUCUUUACCACAGAAAAAUUUCUCGGGCAGACCAGCGAGGAAGCACUGUGCACUGUACUACAGCUGUGUGAGAGACUGUUCCUGGACCACCCGCAGAGGCUCAACAACAUCAAGGCUCAGAUGUACCAUCGGGCAAUAGUGGCUGUGCUCCUUUGUCGAGUAUAUCAUGUGCGGAAGCGUGCCCAUCAGUGUGUAAAGAAACUUUUUUCCUCACUGGGUGGCUCUAAUCUUGCCCACGGCCUUCUGAGAGAACUGUGUGCUGUCAUCAACAAACAUAAGGUUUUGCCCCCAGAAGCUCUUCAGACUGAGGCAGGAGAGUGGACUGAGCUUGGCCGCUUAUAUAUCCCCCCAUGGAUCCUCUUAGAGGCUCUAAGGGCUCUGUGUGCAGCUGCAGGCCAGUGGAAUGAUUCAAGUGAGACUGAGAAACUGGCCCUAGUUAUUAUCCUUGUGGCCCACCACCCAUCCAUUGUGGCUGCCAAAUCAGAACUAUGGCCUUUGCUGUUGUCCAGCAUGAAUAUAGAUGCUACUAUGUUUAUUGACCAGCAUUUACAGACAAUCCUCCCGCUACUGUUGGAGGGAAAUGCUGACAACCAGGCUGUGAGAAAUGCCAUUGGGGAGUUGUCGAACCUUUCUCCUGGGAAACUGCUCCCUUGUGUAAUGGAUCAUGUAAUCCAGAGACUGUCUAAUCCAGCACUGAAGCAGGUAACACCUCAGGAAUAUGCCAUCAUGAAGACCCCAGAGGGAGAGCUGUAUGACAAGAGCAUCAUCAUGAGUGCCCAGCAAGAGAGCACCAAAAAGGGCAAUAUAAAGAGAGAGAAUAAGGCAUACUCUUUCAAAGAACAGAUAAUUGAGCUUGAGCUAAAAGAGGAAAUUAAAAAGAAAAAAGGAAUUAAAGAUGAGGUGCAGCUUACCAGCAAACAAAGGGAGAUGAUGCAGAACCAGCUGGAGAAGGAGUGCUCUAUCCGGAAGAAACUGCAAGAGUUGGAUAUGGAACUGCAAUGCACAGUGGGGCUUUUGGAGGCCAUUAUGGCUUGUCACCCUCCUCAGAUUUCUCACCACAUUCCUAGAAUCCUCCAAGUGCUCCUGCCCCUACUGCACUCACCAUUAGCUGCUUCUCAUGUGCACCAAACCUUCCUCCAUAUUGGCACAUGUGUCCUGCAAAAUCACUUGCACUUCCUGGCACUUCAUGUGGGUCAUGUGACCUUGCGUCUUUUGAAGCCGGAAUGUGAACUGGAUCUAGCUUGGUCUCAGGAGGACCUGAACACAGCUGCACGUCGGACCAUCCAACUGUUGUACACACAGACAGUGCCAUAUAGAGAGGGUAAAUCUGAUGUGCGUCCCCUGUCUGCACCGGCUUUUUCUUUCUGUUUCCCACUGCUGCAGGCCGUCCUCAGCAUAAAUAGUGGGAUAUCUGAGGAGACAGAACUCAUGCUGACACAUGCACUACAGAUUAUCCACACACACUCUCAGUUGCGCUCCAGCAGUGAUGCCACUGAUGUACUCAUUGAUGAGAAUGGUCCAGAGCUUCUCCCCCGUGUGAACAUGCUGUUACUGCUCACCAAAGUGAUUGGUACCUCUACACCACGACUGCAGGUGCUUGCAUCAAGUUGUCUUACCACUCUUUGUGUGAGUGCUGGAGGGCAGGAGGGCUGUGCAUUGGCUGAACAAGCUGAGAUUGACGUGCUUCUAGAAGCCCUGCUUUCUCCAUGUUUUUCUGUUAGGGAUGCAACCCUCCGGGGCCUUUUGGAGUUGAAGCUGGCUUUGCCCACAGAUAGUGCUGAACCCAGUGGGCUCAAUGUGCUCAGGAGACUGUGGGUGGCCAAAUUUGAUGUGGAGGAGGAAGGCAGAGCACUAGCUAACAAGUUGUGGCAGACUUUGUGUCUAGAGUUGGUUCCUGAACUUUGUCCACUGCUAAUCAGUGAUGUAACACACCAUGAGGAAACAGUGAGGGUGGCAGCAGCUGAGGCUUUAUCCUGUGCCGUGAGUCAAUACCAGGAAGAAUCAGCUGCAGUUCUGUCUCAGCUUACCGAGCUCUAUCAGCAGAAACUUUAUAGACCACCUCCAGUCCUGGAUGCUUUGGGACGGGUAAUAUCAGAAGCACCUCCUGACCAGUGGGCUGCAAGAUGUGGGAUAGCACUGGCUCUUAAUAAACUGUCUCAGUGGCUAAGGGAGUAUCAGGUGACUCCCAUCUUUCAGUUUUUCGUACCUGAAGCUCUGAAUGACAGACACAGUGAGGUGCGACGCUGCAUGCUGGAUGCUGCUCUGUCUGUCCUCAACACCCAUGGCAAGGACAAUGUAAACUCACUGCUGCCUGUGUUUGAGGAGUUCCUGAAGAAUGCUCCUCAAGAUGCCAGUUACGACUCAGUGCGUCAGAGCGUGGUCAUCCUCAUGGGCUCACUGGCCAAACAUCUGGACAAGAGUGACCCCAAAGUCAAGCCAAUAGUCGCUAAGCUUAUCACUGCUCUCUCCACACCCUCUCAGCAGGUCCAGGAGUCUGUGGCCAGUUGCUUGCCUCCUCUGGUGCCUGCUAUAAAGGAAGAUGCGGGUGACAUGGUGCGCAAGCUGCUGCAGCUGCUGCUGGAGAGUGAUAAGUAUGCAGAGAGGAAAGGUGCUGCCUAUGGUUUAGCCGGCUUAGUAAAGGGCCUGGGUAUCCUCUCACUCAAACAGCAAGACAUCAUGACUACGCUCACUGAUGCCAUUCAGGACAAAAAGAAUGCCAGACGGAGAGAGGGUGCCCUAUUUGCUUUUGAAAUGCUGUGCAACAUGCUGGGAAAACUGUUUGAGCCAUAUGUGGUACAUGUGUUGCCCCAUCUUCUCCUCUGCUUUGGAGAUGGGAACCAGUAUGUUAGAGAGGCAGCAGAUGACUGUGCCAAAGCUGUAAUGCGCAAUUUAAGUGCUCAUGGGGUGAAGUUAGUUCUACCCUCUCUCCUUGUAGCCCUAGAGGAGGAGUCCUGGAGAACAAAAGCAGGUUCUGUGGAGUUGCUUGGUGCCAUGGCAUUCUGUGCCCCUAAACAGCUGUCAUCAUGUCUACCCAGCAUUGUGCCCAAGCUGACUGAGGUUCUUACUGACUCGCAUGUCAAAGUGCAGAAAGCUGGGCAGCAGGCACUGCGCCAGAUUGGCUCAGUCAUCCGCAACCCUGAGAUCCAGGCCAUCACUCCCAUUCUGCUGGAUGCUCUUACGGACCCAUCACACAAGACACAACAUUGUCUGCACACACUGCUUGAGACCAAAUUUGUGCACUUUAUUGAUGCACCUUCACUGGCUCUCAUCAUGCCCAUUGUUCAGAGGGCUUUCCAGGACCGGUCCACGGACACACGCAAAAUGGCUGCACAGAUCAUCGGCAACAUGUACUCCCUCACCGACCAAAAGGAUCUCUCUCCCUACCUGCCUAGUGUGAUACCGGGACUCAAAACAUCCCUACUGGAUCCUGUACCAGAGGUACGGACAGUGUCUGCAAAAGCUCUUGGUGCUAUGGUCAAAGGUAUGGGUGAGUCCUGCUUCGAUGAUCUGCUGCCUUGGCUGAUGGAGACUCUAGCCUCUGAACAGAGCUCUGUGGAUCGUUCUGGAGCUGCACAGGGUCUGGCAGAGGUGAUGGCUGGGUUAGGUGUUGAGAAGCUGGACAAACUGAUGCCUGAUGUUGUCCAGACGGCCAGCAAAGUGGACAUUGCUUCUCAUGUCCGCGACGGCUACAUUAUGAUGUUCAUCUACCUUCCACUCACCUUUGGUGAAAGAUUCACUCCCUAUGUAGGCCCAAUUAUUCCCUGUAUCCUGAAGGCUCUGGCUGAUGAGAAUGAGUAUGUAAGAGACACAGCACUAAGAGCAGGUCAGCGCAUCAUCAGUAUGUAUGCAGAGACAGCCAUUGCCCUUCUGCUGCCUGAGCUUGAGCAAGGCUUGUUUGAUGACCUUUGGAGGAUCAGGUUCAGCUCAGUGCAGUUGCUAGGAGACCUGCUCUUCCACAUUUCUGGGGUUUCUGGGAAGAUGACAACGGAGACCGCUUCCGAGGAUGACAACUUCGGGACAGCACAGUCUAACAAGGCCAUUAUUGGUGCACUGGGAGUGGAGCGAAGGAACCGUGUGCUCUCUGGCCUCUAUAUGGGCCGCUCAGACACGCAGCUUGUGGUCAGACAGGCCUCCCUGCACGUCUGGAAGAUUGUGGUGGCUAACACUCCGCGUACACUUCGAGAAAUCCUGCCUACACUGUUUUCCCUGCUGCUGGGAUUCCUGGCCUCUACCUGCCCUGACAAGAGAACGAUUGCAGCUCGUACUCUGGGGGAUUUGGUAAGGAAACUGGGGGAAAAGAUCCUUCCGGAAAUCAUCCCCAUCCUAGAGGAGGGUUUGCGCUCAGAGAAGAGUGACGAGAGGCAGGGUGUGUGCAUCGGUCUCAGCGAAAUUAUGAAGUCCACCAGCAAAGAUGCUGUGCUGGUGUUCUCUGAAUCCCUAGUGCCUACAGUGCGUAAAGCUCUGUGUGACCCUUUAGAAGAUGUGCGUGAGGCUGCAGCUAAAACCUUUGAACAGUUACACACCACAAUUGGGCACCAAGCACUGGACGACAUCCUCCCUGCUCUGCUUAAACAGCUUGAGGAUCCAGAGACUGCUGAAUUUGCUCUGGAUGGGCUGAAGCAAGUUAUGGCUGUGAAGAGUCGAUCAGUGCUGCCUUACCUGGUGCCCAAGCUCACUGCUCCACCAGUGAAUACACGUGUGCUAGCCUUCCUGUCUGCUGUGACGGGUGAUGCUCUGACACGUCACCUGGGUGUGAUUCUGCCUGCUUUACUCUCAUCCCUCAAAGAAAAGCUAGGCACUGAGGAGGGACAUCAGGAGUUAAGCAACUGCCAGACUGUGAUUUUGUCCGUUGAAGAUGAAGUGGGCCAGCGGAUCAUCAUUGAGGAUCUACUGGAGGCAACACGUGGUGUAGAUGCUGGUCUUAGGCAGGCAUCUGUUACCAUAUUAAAUUCCUACUUCUCCCGAACAAGACUUGACUACAGCACUCACACACGCACGCUGCUUUCUGGCCUUGUGCGCCUGCUCAAUGACACCAACCCUGAGGUGCUCCAUCAGAGCUGGGACACCAUCAACUCCAUCACCAAGAAAUUGGAUGCUGGGAGUCAGCUGGCUCUGAUUGAUGACUUGCACAGAGAUAUACGUUCAGCAGCAGCUGAGGUCAAGGGUGAACAUCUGCCUGGCUUCUGUCUGCCCAAAAAGGGAGUGACUUGCAUUCUACCUGUUCUGAGAGAGGGUGUGCUGACGGGAAGCCCAGACCAGAAGGAAGAAGCAGCACGUGCGUUAGGUGCUGUCAUCAAGCUUACCUCUGCUGAGGCUCUGCGGCCCUCUGUAGUCAAUAUCACUGGGCCGCUUAUUCGUAUACUCGGAGAUCGUUUUGCCUGGACUGUGAAGACUGCUCUACUUGCGACCCUGACCCUUCUGCUUCGCAAGGUGGGCAUAGCUCUGAAGCCGUUCCUUCCACAGCUCCAGACCACAUUCCUGAAGGCCCUACAAGACACAAGCAGGCCUGUGAGGCUCAGGGCAGCUGAGGCUCUAGGACAACUUGUUUCUAUACACACAAAAGUGGACCCACUAUUUACGGAGCAGCUCUCAGCCAUUCGCAAUGCUGAGGACUCAGGCGUCAGGGAGACCAUGCUGCAAGCCCUGAGGUUUGUCAUACAAGGUGCUGGAGCUAAAGUUGACCCUGCCAUCAAGAAGACCAUGACCGCCAUGUUGCUAGGCAUGCUAGGACAUGAUGAGGAUGCAACACGAAUGGCCUCUGCUGGGUGCGUUGGUGUGUUAUGUGCCUUCCUGUCUGAAGAAGAGCUUAGAAAUGUUCUAGAACAGUAUGUCCUUGGUAAGAUCCAACAGACACAGAAAACACCUCUGUAUAAUCCAAACUUUAGUGGUUGAAUAAUUACAUCUUGAAGUGUUUUUAUUAGGGGUGGGCAAGUUAACGCGUUAUUAUCGCGUUAACUCAUUAAUUAAUUAACGCCGAUAAUUAUUUUAUCGCGCAUUAACGCAGUUUUUAUUAUUUUGUAAAUUAUUUUAAAAGUCUGUUGCUCACUGGCUCUGAAUACACAUACAGACAAACUAUGGGCGACGAGAGGGGUGGGAUCUUGAUCCGUAUUGGCUUGGGAUAAACGUCCUCACGCGUCUCAACCAAUGAGAGCAUUUGGGAUGACCGUAAGACUGCUGUGGCGCUCACAGUAACCGGAGAAGAAAUAGAACCGGCGGAUAAACAAACAUGGAGAAAGGCACCGAACUUUUACAUAGACAGUUUCAUUUUUAACUUCUUUCAGACGAUAGAUAGAUAGAUAGAUAGACAGACAGGCAGAUGGGUAGGGAUAGAUAGAUAGAUAGAUAGAUAGAUAGAUAGAUAGAUAGAUAGAUAGAUAGAUAGAUAGAUAGAUAGAUAGAUAGAUAGAUAGAUAGAUAGAUAGAUAGGUGGACAGGCAGGUAGGUAGGUGGACAGGUAGAUAGAUAGAUAGAUAGAUAGAUAGAUAGAUAGAUAGAUAGAUAGAUAGAUAGAUAGAUAGAUAGAUAGAUAGGUGGACAGGCAGGUAGGUAGGUGGACAGGUAGGUAGGUAGAUAGGUGGACAGGCAGGUAGGUAGAUAGAUAGAGAGAUAGGCAGGUAGGCAGGCAGAUGGGUAGGCAUAGAUAGAUAGAUAGAUAGAUAGAUAGAUAGAUAGACAGACAGGCAGAUGGGUAGGGAUAGAUAGAUAGAUAGAUAGAUAGAUAGAUAGAUAGAUAGAUAGAUAGAUAGAUAGAUAGAUAGAUAGGUGGACAGGCAGGUAGGUAGGUGGACAGGUAGGUAGGUAGAUAGGUGGACAGGCAGGUAGGUAGAUAGAUAGAGAGAUAGGCAGGUAGGCAGGCAGAUGGGUAGGCAUAGAUAGAUAGAUAGAUAGAUAGAUAGAUAGAUAGAUAGAUAGAUAGAUAGAUAGAUAGAUAGAUAGAUAGAUAGAUAGAUAGAUAGAUAGAUAGGUGGACAGGCAGGUAGGUAGAUAGGUGGACAGGCAGGUAGGUAGAUAGAUAGAGAGAUAGGCAGGUAGGCAGGCAGAUGGGUAGGCAUAGAUAGAUAGAUAGAUAGAUAGAUAGAUAGAUAGAUAGAUAGAUAGAUAGAUAGAUAGAUAGAUAGAUAGAUAGAUAGAUAGAUAGAUAGAUAGAUAGAUAGAUAGAUAGAUAGAUAGGUGGACAGGCAGGUAGGUAGGUGGACAGAUAGAUAGAUAGAUAGAUAGAUAGAUAGAUAGAUAGAUAGAUAGAUAGAUAGAUAGAUAGAUAGAUAGGCAGGUAGGUAGGUGGACAGGUAGGUAGGUAGAUAGGUGGACAGGCAGGUAGGUAGGUGGACAGGUAGGUAGGUAGAUAGAGAGAUAGAGAGAUAGGCAGGUAGGCAGGCAGAUGGGUAGGCAUAGAUAGAUAGAUAGAUAGAUAGAUAGAUAGAUAGAUAGAUAGAUAGAUAGAUAGAUAGAUAGAUAGAUAGGUAGGUAGAUAGGUGGACAGGCAGGUAGGUAGGUGGACAGGUAGGUAGGUAGAUAGAUAGAGAGAUAGGCAGGCAGGCAGGCAGAUGGGUAGGCAUAGAUAGAUAGAUAGAUAGAUAGAUAGAUAGAUAGAUAGAUAGAUAGAUAGAUAGAUAGAUAGAUAGGUAGAUAG